rnacentral:miRNA from 1 species
AAAUAGCCUUCUAUUGGAAGUAGAUGCCAUCUAGGACUUUCAUAGCUGGAGAGAAGUCAAUGCCUGGCUUCAAAGCUUCAAGGGACAUGAUGACUCUUGUUAGGGGUUAAUGUAGUUGGUCACUUU